CCUACGGGUGGCAGCAGUGAGGAAUAUUGGUCAAUGGACGAGAGUCUGAACCAGCCAAGUAGCGUGAAGGAUGACUGCCCUAUGGGUUGUAAACUUCUUUUAUAAAGGAAUAAAACGAGGCACGUGUGCCUUGUUGCAUGUACUUUAUGAAUAAGGAUCGGCUAACUCCGUGCCAGCAGCCGCGGUAAUACGGAGGAUCCGAGCGUUAUCCGGCUUUAUUUGGUUUAAAGGGAGCGUAGACGGGUUUUUAAGUCAGUUGUGCAAGUGUGAGGCUCAAACGUAAAAUUGCAAUUGAGACUGGCAGUCUUGAGUACAGUUGAGGUAGGCGGAAUUCGGGGUGUAGCGGUGAAAUGCUUAGAUAUCGCGAAGAACUCCGAUUGCGAAGGCAGCUUACUAAAUUGCCACUGACAUUGAGGCUCGAAAGUGUGGGUAUCAAACAGGAUUAGAUACCCUAGUAGUC
rnacentral:rRNA from 1 species